CUUCCCGUGGCGCAAUGGUAGCGCGUCAGACUUCUAAUCUGAAGGCUGCGGGUUCGAGCCCCGCCGGGAAGU